rnacentral:tRNA from 1 species
UACAAAGUGCCUGAUAAAAGGAAUAUUCUGAUAGAAUUUAUAAUGUAACUAUAGCCUUACCUUUGUUU